rnacentral:rRNA from 1 species
AUUGAACGCUGGCGGCAGGCCUAACACAUGCAAGUCGAGCGGAGUGGCGGACGGGUGAGUAAUGCCUAGGAAUCUGCCUGGUAGCGGGGGAUAACGUCCGGAAACGGGAGCUAAUACCGCAUACUUGCAGUUGACACUAGGUCGGAUUAGCUAGUUGGUGGGGUAAAGGCAUACCAGGGCGACGAUCCGUAACUGUUAUGAGAGGGUGAUCAGUCACACGGGAACUGGGACACGGUCCAGACUCCUACGGGAGGCAGCAUUGGGGAAUAUUCGACAAUGAGCGAAAGCCUGAGCCAGCCAUGCCGCGUGUGUGAGGAAGGUCUUCGGAUUGUAAAGCACUUUAAGUUGGGAGACGUUACCGAAAGAGUAAGCACCGGCUAACUUCGUGCCAGCAGCCGCGGUAAUUC